rnacentral:lncRNA from 1 species
CCCUCCCCCGCGGAGCCGCCGGCUCGGCCUACCAGCCCGGGGGCUCCGAGGCUCGCGCCGGAGGCGGGGCAUCGCCGCGCCGGCCGCCAACGGCCACUGCAACGGUCCCUACCGGGGAGGGCCGGCUUUUGCCGGCUUCCGGAGAAGGGAGGAAAGAGAGAGGUUUACCUAACACUGUAAAGAGAACGUUCAAUGAAAUACAAAGAAAAAGAUGAUUUUUUUGCUCCAAGAGAAUUAUUCCAGCCUUGGGGUGGAGUGGGUGUGGACAGUGAGCAGAAAAACAAGAAACCAAGUUCUGGGAGGAAAUAAAAUGAAUAUAAUCAGUGGAAAAUUCAGCAACGCAAUAUUGUGUGACAACAGUAAAUGACCAAUUUAUAAUUUAAAUUCUAUGAAAAAGAGAUUUAGAAGAGAGUUCUACCAAACCCACUGUUCCCUAGGGAAUAAAAUGAGUAACGCUGACUGGCAACAGUGCAUCCUGAGGGAGCCUGGAGAAACAACAGCAGCCUCCGACCUCAAGAUAUCCUGUGCUGUGACAGUGUCUUAAGUAGGGCAUGUUGAUAGAUGGAAAAGGACGGCAAACUCGAGGUGCUGAUUCAGGAAGAAGCAGAUUCCAAGAUGGAAGAGAAAAUAUCGAGAGAAAUAUGCCGAGAGAAGAAUCCAGGCAGAAUGGAAUCCAGGCAGAAUGGUGAAUGGAAGGUUCGGGUGACCAAGAGAAAGGAAGGGUGACUCAGCAAGUCUGUAGUUUCAGCUCUUGUAUAGUACGUUAUACUUGAAAAGCUGAAGCCUUUUCUCGGGGAAGAGUCAGAACGGCCUGGAGGGCUUGCUAAAGCGCUGCUGGCUGGGCCCCGCCCGCUGAAUGACUAAUGGAGACUCUGAGGGCCGGCUGGUAAUUUGAGUUUCUAACAAGCCCUGUUUCGAUGCUGGUACAGCCGAUCUAGGGAAAAUAUUGGAACAAGGAAAAAACUAAGAAGAAAUUUUAAAAAGUAAUCAAAGGCGGCCAAGUGAGGUGGCUCACGCCUGUGAUCCU